rnacentral:rRNA from 1 species
AUUGAACGCUGGCGGCAUGCUUUACACAUGCAAGUCGAACGGUAACAGGCCGCAAGGUGCUGACGAGUGGCGAACGGGUGAGUAAUGCAUCGGAACGUGCCCAGUCGUGGGGGAUAACUACUCGAAAGAGUAGCUAAUACCGCAUACGAUCUAUGGAUGAAAGCGGGGGACCGUAAGGCCUCGCGCGAUUGGAGCGGCCGAUGUCAGAUUAGGUAGUUGGUGGGGUAAAGGCUCACCAAGCCAACGAUCUGUAGCUGGUCUGAGAGGACGACCAGCCACACGGGACCUGGGACCCGGCCCAGACCCUUAGGGAAGGCAGAGGUGGGAAAUUUUGGCCAAGGGGGGCAAGCUUGACCAAGAAAGGCGGCGUGAAGAAAGAAGGCCUCCGGGUUGUAAACUGUUUUUGUAGGGAACGAAAGGGUUCUGGUAAUACCCGGGGCUAAUGACGGUACCGUAAGAAUAAGCACCGGCUAACUACGUG